UACGUAGGGGGCAAGCGUUGUCCGGAAUCAUUGGGCGUAAAGAGCGUGUAGGCGGCCCGAUAAGUCCGCUGUGAAAGUCCAGGGCUCAACCCUGGAAUGCCGGUGGAUACUGUCGGGCUCGAAUCCGGAAGAGGUGAGUGGAAUUCCUGGUGUAGCGGUGAAAUGCGUAGAUAUCGGAAGGAACAUCAGUGGCGAAAGCGACUUCCUGGACCAGUACCGACGUUCAGGCACGAAAGCGUGGGGAGCAAACAGG
rnacentral:rRNA from 1 species